GAGAAGGAGAAGCUUGACCAGGAGAAGUCUGAAAUCAAACAGGAAAAGGUUUGUUUGUGCUUCUAAAUCCUCAUCCUGAUAGUAUUUCACAAAUCUUUAGCUAGUUUUUGGGGUAGAUGAUAUGGCUGAAAAAAUUAGCACAAUAUAAACGUUUAUCAGUCCAUCAAUCAUUAUUGAUUAGUUUUUUGUUUUAAGAGAAGGUCGGUGAACUUUCUGAAAGUGAUAAAACGAGAUGGCCGCCAGCAUGUUGUUUUUGCUUAGAGUGUGUGUGAGGAUGUGAAGUAGAAACUGUGGCUCACACACACACACGUGUCCUUACAGGCUGAAAAGAAAGACGAAGAAAAGCAGGUUUGUGAUCUCAUUUCACCUCCAUCUGAGGAAAACUUCCUCUUAGUGUUUCUUUAAUGCG